rnacentral:lncRNA from 1 species
AAAGAAACUAAUAAAAUGGAAUGAGAUACGUAUCCUUACCGUCGUUUGUAGAUGUCAAAUGAAUAUGUGCCAAAGAUUCUGUUAUGAACGCUAUGAAGGACCAAGAUAAGAGACACCACAAUUGCAACUCACACCAGCAGAGGCAAAUCACAGAAACCACAGAUACGAAUCACAGGCAAAGGAGGGUGGUGAACAAACCUCAAUAUCUGAAGGAUUACGUAUAACAGCUUGGCUAAGGGAAUGCUGACGUGGCAGGAAGAUAUUGGCUCCUGAAGAUUACCUUGUCUGCUAUUUUGUAAUUCUGUUAUGAUCUAAUCCUUUUUCUGUUAUGCCCUGUAUUCAGAAUCAAUAGGAAAAGCUGUUAGCACUAAAGCUCUAUAUAAAGAAAUGUGUAAUGAAAAUCAGCAGACUGAAUAAAAUCAUCUUUUCUUAUCUUUGCUUUGGAGAGACCUAGCUCUCGAAUCUAGGAAUCCUCUGGCCAAUUCUUUGGCCAUAACAGAUUCAAAUUGAAUUCUAACACUAAUAAUAUUCUAUAUUCCCUCUACAAUUGGUAUUUAAAACUUCAACUUUUAUGACUAGUGUGCCCAUCAAAUUAUUAUACUUAAUGAAAUGCAUUCCACUGUGACAGGUGUAUGAUAUCACACCAUUUUUGGAUGAGCAUCCAGGAGGUGAUGAAGUUUUGCUGACGUCAACAGGUAAUCAAUUUCUCUUUGUUGGCUGGUUCAUAUUAUCCGUCUGUAGGUCGGGCAAGCAGAAGUAGUAACUGGAAAGGAGUGGACUAAGAAACUCAG